rnacentral:rRNA from 1 species
CCUACGGGGGGCAGCAGUGAGGAAUAUUGGUCAAUGGGCGUAAGCCUGAACCAGCCAAGUCGCGUGAGGGAUGAAGGUUCUAUGGAUCGUAAACCUCUUUUGUAAGGGAAUAAAGUGUGGGUCGUGUCCUAUGUUGUAUGUACCUUAUGAAUAAGGAUCGGCUAACUCCGUGCCAGCAGCCGCGGUAAUACGGAGGAUCCGAGCGUUAUCCGGAUUUAUUGGGUUUAAGGGGUGCGUAGGCGGCCUUUUAAGUCAGCGGUGAAAGUCUGUGGCCCAACCAUGGAAUUGCCGUUGAAACUGGGGGGCUUGAGUAUGUUAGAGGCAGGCGGAAUGCGUGGUGUAGCGGUGAAAUGCGUAGAUAUCACGCAGAACCCCGAUUGCGAAGGCAGCCUGCCAAGCCAUGACUGACGCUGAUGCACGAAAGCGUGGGGAUCAAACAGGAUUAGAUACCCCAGUAGUC